rnacentral:rRNA from 1 species
CACGUACUGUGCGAACGUUAUUCGGAAUCACUGGGCUUAAAGGGUGCGUAGGCGGCGAUUCAAGUCAGAUGUGAAAUGCCUGAGCUCAACUGAGGCAUUGCGUUUGAAACUGAAUUGCUAGAGUAUUUCAGGGGUGUGCGGAACUGCCAGUGGAGCGGUGAAAUGUGUUGAUAUUGGCAGGAACACCGGAGGCGAAAGCGGCACACUGGGGAAUAACUGACGCUGAGGCACGAAAGCUAGGGGAGCGAACGGG